CGAGGAAGCUGACGAGAAAGAAUAUGAGAUUAAAGAAGGUGAUCUCAGUGUAGUAUCGAUUUGGAUCGUUUCUGAUGAGAAAUAAAGAACAAAAACAACGAAUGCCCAGACAGAGAGAGAAGCGAUGAACAAAAAGGUUAGUCUUUACUCUAAGGUUAUUUUGGUUUUUUUUUUUUUUGUUAAUGGAUCCAGCAGGCCCAUUUGAUUUCAUGUGAAUAAUACCCAAUAUUAUUGUGAACAAAGAAUAUUUAAAAAUUGUAAAGAAAAUUUACUAUUAUUUUUGUCUGUGAAGAUGGGGACUACCUGCACCUGGACACCCCGCU
rnacentral:lncRNA from 1 species